AUGUAUUGUGUACUUGAGUGCCGUUUUUGUCAAUGUAUUGUGGACAUGUUUAUUUAUAAACGUAUGUGUUUCUUUUCUGUCGUGUUUAUUGACAUAUCUGUACUGUAGUGUUUUCGGACGAUACAAUAGCAAAACAUUCACAUUUGAUUUACAAAGAUAUUUCCAAUUCUCUUGAUGUUUUCAUCACUGUCUCUGGCAUUUCGAAGACAGUUUAUUGUCUGGAUGCCUACUUUACUCAAACGAUAUAACGUGCAUAUCCUCAUUGGUCUUGCCUUGUGCAAACGCGGGGUUAUACAACUGUCAGCAGUGACGGAAGGACUUUCUGGCUGUUUCACAGAAAAAUGCGUAGAAAAAGCAUAUUUGAUAUAAAAAGGAUUUUUACAAGCUUCCUUGUAUUCCAAAGCAACUUUAAAUGUGAGCGCACAUUCAAUCAAUAUUCAAAUACAAAGGACAUAAUGCAACAAAGAAUUCAUAUACCUACUUUUCAUUGAAUACUGCUGUAGAAACAGUCAGCGACUUCUUUACACAGACAUUUGAUAUUCCUCACGCCUAAUUUGCUUGAGCAGUGUUUUAGAGCGAGGAUCGUUCUGAUGCAGCAGUGUUUGUAGGUGCGCUCGAAG